rnacentral:rRNA from 1 species
AGACGAACGCUGGCGGCGAGGUCUAACACAUGCAAGUCGAGAGGACGAACCAAGUGCUUGCACUUGGGGAAACCGGCGAACGAGGUGAGUAACACGUGAGGAACCUGCCCUGUACACCGGGAUAACUACGGGAAACCGUGGCUAAUACCGGAUGCUCCACCGAGAUCGCAUGGUCAUGGUGGGAAAGCUCAGGCGGUACAGGAGGGCCUCGCGGCGUAUCAGCUUGUUGGUGGGGUAAUGGCCCACCAAGGCUACGACGCGUAGCUGGAGUGAGAGCUCGAACAGCCACACUGGGACUGAGACACGGCCCAGACUCCUACGGGAGGCAGCAGUGGAGAAUCUUGCGCAAUGGGCGAAAGCCUGACGCAGCCACGCCGCGUGCGGGAAGAAGGCCUUCGGGUCGUAAACCGCUUUCAGGAGGGAAGAAGCGAAAGUGACGGUACCUCCAGAAGAAGGCCCGGCUAACUACGUGCCAGCAGCCGCGGUAAUACGUAGGGGCCGAGCGUUGUCCGGAUUUAUUGGGCGUAAAGCGCAUGUAGGCGGCCUUGUA